AAUCAACGCUGGCGGCGUGCCUAACACAUGCAAGUCGAACGCGGUUAUCUCGCAAGGGGUAACUGAGUGGCGAACGGGUGAGUAACACGUGGGUGACCUACCUUCGAAUGGGGGAUAACGUCCCGAAAGGGACGCUAAUACCGCAUAACAUCCUGCUCUUGAAUGGGUGGAGAUCAAAGCUGGGGAUCGCAAGACCUGGCGUUUGAUGAGGGACCCGCGUCCGAUUAGCUAGUUGGUGGGGUAACGGCUCACCAAGGCGACGAUCGGUAGCCGGCCUGAGAGGACGACCAGCCACACUGGAACUGAGACACGGUCCAGACUCCUACGGGAGGCAGCAGUGGGGAAUUUUGGACAAUGGGCGAAAGCCUGAUCCAGCCAUUCCGCGUGCAGGAUGAAGGCCCUCGGGUUGUAAACUGCUUUUGUACAGAACGAAAAGGUUUCUACUAAUACUAGGAGCUCAUGACGGUACUGUAAGAAUAAGCACCGGCUAACUACGUGCCAGCCGCCGCCGUAACAC
rnacentral:rRNA from 1 species